rnacentral:lncRNA from 1 species
AGAAUACAUAAAAUAGCAUGUCAUGGGACCUUUAACAUAUCUUUUAUUCCCGACAUACAGACAAAAUCAAACACUGUCAAAAAACGGUAUAUCAAUGAAGAUUCUAAUGUACUUUUUAAAAAGGCCAUCUCCUUGCUACCACCUCUAAACCCAUGUUCUGCUGAUGAUCUUGUAGAAAACUUUAAUUUGAAAAUUUUGAAAGUCAUAGAUGUCAUUGCACCUUAUAAGGUUAAAACGAUUUCUGGAAAGCAAAAGGCACCCUGGAGAAAAGCUGCUUCUGUAACAGCACAGAAAAAGGAAUGCAGGAAGGUUGAACGCAUCUGGCGUAAAACAAAACUUCAUAUUCACCAUGAUAUCUAUAAAGAGAGCCUCCGUGCCUACAAUUUAGACUUAAAAAAUGCUAGAGAAACAUUUUUCUCCAAUAUCAUUAAAACCAACACUAAUAAUGCAAAAACCCUAUUUGCAACUGUUGACAGACUGACCAACCCCCCAACAGAAAUUCCACCUGAUCUCCAUUCCACGCAGAAAUGCAAUGAGUUUGCAGCUUUUUAUAUUGAUAAAAUUGAAGGUAUCAGACGCGCCAUCAAUAUCUCCACGUCAAACAAAAAUGUUGGACUACCACCCUGUUCAGGCAAAAAUUACGUGGCAAGGAUGGCAUGCUUUAAUGUUAUAGACUCUCAAAAUCUUGUGGAAACUGUGACACAACUAAAGCCAUCCACCUGUUGCCUUGAUACUAUACCUACCAACCUCUUUAAGAAUGUUUUCGACUGCCUAGCAGUAGACAUAUUGCAGAUAGUUAACAACUCUCUCCAGUCAGGCAAGUUCCCAAAAGCUUUGAAAACUGCAGUUAUUAAACCCCUUUUAAAAAAGCGGAGCCUAGAUGCCUCUAUUAUUAACAACUACAGACCAAUAUCAAAUCUACCCUUCAUAAGUAAAAUCAUUGAGAAAGUUGUCCUCCAGCAACUAAAUCACUUCCUGGCAUCAACUGGUUGCUAUGACAUCUUCCAAUCAGGAUUUAGACCCCUGCACAGCACUGAGACCGCCCCUAUUAAAGUUGUAAACGACAUCCGUCUUAACACAGACUCUGGCAAAACCUCAAUACUAAUGCUACUUGACCUCAGUGCUGCAUUCGACACUGUAGACCAGGGGUACUCAAGUAGAAAUGAUGAGGGGCCACAAAUUUUUUUUUCAGUGACUCAAGGGGCCGGUCGGUAUACGUGUGACUGA